rnacentral:rRNA from 1 species
AUUGAACGCUGGCGGCAGGCCUAACACAUGCAAGUCGAGCGGAUGACGGGAGCUUGCUCCUUGAUUCAGCGGCGGACGGGUGAGUAAUGCCUAGGAAUCUGCCUGGUAGUGGGGGACAACGUUUCGAAAGGAACGCUAAUACCGCAUACGUCCUACGAGAGAAAGCAGGGGACCUUCGGGCCUUGCGCUAUCAGAUGAGCCUAGGUCGGAUUAGCUAGUUGGUGGGGUAUGGCUCACCAAGGCGACGAUCCGUAACUGGUCUGAGAGGAUGAUCAGUCACACUGGAACUGAGACACGGUCCAGACUCCUACGGGAGGCAGCAGUGGGGAAUAUUGGACAAUGGGCGAAAGCCUGAUCCAGCCAUGCCGCGUGUGUGAAGAAGGUCUUCGGAUUGUAAAGCACUUUAAGUUGGGAGGAAGGGCAGUAAGCUAAUACCUUGCUGUUUUGACGUUACCGACAGAAUAAGCACCGGCUAACUCUGUGCCAGCCGCCGCCGUAACAC